UGGACCACAGAAGGCAGAGGGGCUGCUGGGAGCCCACGAGCUGACUGUACCCACUUAACACAGGGAGAGACAGAGCAGCAGGGUGAGGGGUGUGCGUGCAGUGCGGCCGGCCGUGGGUUCUGACUAAACCACCUAGAGAUGAAAGGGAACCCUGAAAUUCCUUUUUUUCUCAAUUCUUUUUCUUUUUUUUUUUUUUCCUUUUUAUCGGUACCAGGGAUUGAACUCACGACCGCCUGCUUGCAAGGCAGGUGCUUAUGCCGCUGAGCUAAACCCCCAGCCCCUUUUUCUCAAUUCUUUAGUUUUGGGUUUUGUCUUGUUUUUGUUUCUGUUUUGAGACAGGGUUUUACUAUGUCAUCCAGGCUGGCCUUGAGCUCACUGUGUAGACCAGGAUGGCCCCACACUCACAGUGCUCCUCCUGCUUCAGCCUUCCGUGUGCUGGGAUUACAGGAUAAAGAAGAUCACGGAGCUAACUGUAUUCAAUUAUUCCGAGCUAACUGUAUCCAAUUAUUCUAAAAUUUGAAGAAACUGAGGCCCACAGAGUGGGAAACACAUA